GAUUGUCACGGCCGGAGGCUGUCACGGCCGGAGGCCGUCGACAAACUAUUCGACAUUCUGCGUCGAAGCGGGGUGAUGGAGGCCUUCGAGUGCGGUAAGUAUAAUUUCGGCGCUAGUCGUUCGUCAGACGUCGGGCCGACGCACGGUAACCCUAACCUUCUUCUGGUUUCCAGCUAUACAGGAACUCGUAUGGCCUGAAGACGAGGCGGCCGACCCGAUCACGGCCAUGAUCCGGAGCCUCGGAGGUUACGAAAGUGAAUACGUAGCCGUGCUACGUGCCGAACUUCAGAUAGAGAGGGAGAGGAACAGGGCCCUCCGGGCCACGGUAAGUACGAACACGGGCGGGCCGACACGACGCAAAAGGUUGCGUACGAGUUCGGUGGCACAAUCCAAACAGUGCUUAAUUCGGUUAUUUUUUUCCGACAGGUGGACGACUACCGAAAGAAGUAUGAAUUGCCGAGUACGUCCGGGCCCGUUGUAGUAAAUUUGUCGUCGGACGAAUCCGACGAAUUUCGUGAGAAUCCGGCGAACAAGAGGAGUAAUACACCGGAAGAGGCCGCGGGAGGCAGCCGAAAACGAUGUAAAAGUUUUCCCUGAUAAUAAACUGAUUUAAGCAAGCUCUUGUGUCCGAAUACAGCUUUUUAUUACGCACGUUUAUCCGAUUACGGGGGUUCGGCGAAUUCGCAGUAAUUCGAACGGGUCUGUUUUCCGCAGUGCGCAGUAGUAGUUCGCGCGAAAACCGAUCGGCGUCGCGACGAUGACUGUUCGUUCUCCCGACCGAACGAAUAACAGGACAAAAAAGUUAACGUACAGCGUAGCUAUGUAUUUAAAUCGGAUUUGCUUUACCGCCGGUAACUGUUUUUUAAAAACGAGAUUUAAAGAAACAUUCGUAAUUAGUUGUAUCGUGUCUUCGAAAGUUGCGCUCGCCGCGUGAAACUCGCGACAUUGAACGACUUUUAUAUAAUACCGUAUCGAUGUUAGUUCGUCGUCGAUGUAAUCGAGUUAAACGUUACAAUUGUUUAAAAGUGCGUCAUUUCUUUUUCUGUAUUGCAAUGAUUAGUAGCUUAAUUGCAUGUAGAAAAACCAACGGUGUAAAUGGAAAGUAGCGUAAUUUGCCGCUUGUCUCUCGGAACAGACAGUUCCUGUUAAUCCAUCGAAAACGUUAUUUUCGUUAGGUGUUAGUUUCGACUCGCGCCAACGUAAGUAACGAUUAAAUGAGUGUUUCGGUCGAAACGCAACGAACGAACUAGUCGGAAUGGCGGCGGACAGGCGACCGCUGCAUUCGGACCUGAAGCCGGAAAAUUCGACAUUUCGUUCGACGUUUAAUGAAAUAACGAACGAAAAACACAUAGCUGUUUUAAAACAAUCGACGUCCCCUACUUCAAUAACGUAUCUAACAUCGUUUGUUUAUUGGCGAGUGGGAAAGAUAUUGCAACGAAAUAUGUCGACUGGAUUGACAUUUCUGCC
rnacentral:misc_RNA from 1 species